UUGACCUCGGAUCAGGUAGGAAUACCCGCUGAACCUAAGCAUAAAA
rnacentral:rRNA from 1 species